UUUGUAGCUCAGCUGGAUAGAGCAAUGCCCUUCUAAGGCAGAGGUCGCAGGUUCGAAUCCUGCCAGAC
rnacentral:tRNA from 1 species